rnacentral:rRNA from 1 species
UACGAAGGGUGCAAGCGUUACUCGGAAUCACUGGGCGUAAAGCGCACGCAGGCGGAUUGAUAAGUCAGGGGUGAAGUCCCGGAGCUCAACUUCGGAAUUGCCUUUGAUACUGUCUGUCUUGAGUCCGGGAGAGGUGAGUGGAAUUCCUAGUGUAGAGGUGAAAAUUCGUAGAUAUUAGGAAGAACACCAGUGGCGAAGGCGGCUCACUGGCCCGGUACUGACGCUCAUGUGCGAAAAGCGUGGGGAGCAAACAGG